rnacentral:sRNA from 1 species
AGGAGAAAGUUUUGGGCCGAAUUUGGAAAUCUUCAAAACAUCAAUAAGUUGCGUCUCGAAAUUGCCGUCAGGUAUUGGUGUCGCUCGACAC